GUGGGGAAUCUUGCGCAAUGGGCGAAAGCCUGACGCAGCCAUGUCGCGUGAAUGAUGAAGGUCUUAGGAUUGUAAAAUUCUUUCACCGGGGACGAUAAUGACGGUACCCGGAGAAGAAGCUCCGGCUAACUUCGUGCCAGCAGCCGCGGUAAUACGAAGGGGGCUAGCGUUGCUCGGAAUUACUGGGCGUAAAGGGCGCGUAGGCGGACAGCUUAGUCAGAGGUGAAAGCCCAGGGCUCAACCUUGGAAUUGCCUUUGAUACUGGCUGUCUUGAGUACGGGAGAGGUGAGUGGAACUCCGAGUGUAGAGGUGAAAUUCGUAGAUAUUCGGAAGAACACCAGUGGCGAAGGCGACUCACUGGCCCGUUACUGACGCUGAGGCGCGAAAGCGUGGGGAGCAAACAGGAUUAGAAACCCCAGUAGUCC
rnacentral:rRNA from 1 species